UUUAAGAUUGUGUGUUUUCAAACAAAAAGUUCAUAAAAUCACAUAUUUUGUUGAAAUAUGCCUUUUAAAAAUGAAAAAUGUCUUUAAUAAGGAUUAAAAUGAUUUUUCAUAAUCACCUUCAAGGGCCUUUGAAGGUGUUCGAUUUUUUCCAUUUUUGCACCUGAGAUUCGUUAAAUAAUUGUCCCCAACAUCCUUAAGUCUGGUGAUCUAAAUCCCCUUAUUUCUGAAGAUAUGAAGCAUUUAUCUCCCUUACUCCAGAGCAGUCAAGAAUAACACACAGAGCACUUUAGAAGCAGUUUUUUGUGCAUCUUUUGAACCAGAAUUUCAUUAUUAAAAGAAUAAGCUUGGCAACCAAUUUUUUAUCUGUGGAGAGUAUAUGCUUUGUUCUUCACCACAAACAGAAAAGAGUUUACAAGUCUAUGACCAUUAUGUAAUUAUUACAUAACAAAGUUGCAUUUUCCCCUUCAAAGAAU